rfam:Triticum aestivum genome assembly, contig: Triticum_aestivum_CS42_TGACv1_scaffold_404178_5BL
UAUAUAUUACCCUCGUCCCAAAAUUCUUGUCUUAGUUUUGUCGAGAUACGGAUGUAUUUAACACUAAAAAUUGACUAGAUACAUCCGUAUCUAGACAAAUCUAAGGCAAGAAUUUUGGAAGGGAGGGAGUAGAAA